AAAAAACAACAUGUAUAAAAGAAUCGGCCAUUUGAAACCUACCAUCUCACAACAAUAUCAAUAAACCUUUACAACACAAUCAAUAGAAUUCAUCAGUUACACAACCCCUCAUAUUUCUGCCAUUCCUUUCUAUUGAAUGCACUCAUCAUAAAUUAUGCUUUUGCGUCAGAUGAGAAGCCGAGAAGCAUGGUACCACAAUUUCAAUCUUCCGAUUCUUCCCACACCUCCCAUCCGUUCAACAACGCAACUGGCCACCACCUCCGAUGCGUGAUGAAGCAGCGAGAUGGAUCUGUGCUCGGAAAGAAGACGAUUCUUAGCCUGGAUCAUUAGCCUGGAUGUCAAAACAAGCGAUUGUCGCCUCAAAUCGAUGGUGCUCCAAAUUACGUUAGGUUAAAUUAGCAGUGCACUAAAAAUCGGGGGCUCAUGUUUCAUGGAAAAGUGAAAAGGUUGGUCAAAAGUAAGAAGAAUGAAGAUGCCUUCGAAGUUUAUUGAAUACAUCAAGUUUAUUGUUCUUAUUCGUGGAUGAAGCUCCUCGGGUUUCAACUUAGUCACUCAGGUGCUGAAAUAUGCUGGAAGCCUAGAAGCUGGUUAGGCGAGGAAAAAAGUUGUUAGUGUCGUUAACUUACUGAAAUGUUGGAGGUUGUGGAUUAAUAGAAAUGAUAAAGCUUUUAAAGGCACAUCCUCUUCUUUAUUGAAGUUGGUUGAAGACAUAAAAGAAAA